GACACUUCCUGCUCAUGGUGAGGGGUAGCUAAAUAUUUAAUGACAUGUCACCUGAUAGAGAAACAAGAUAACUGGAAUACUCAAUGAAGCUGUGAGCACCAGAGGGGACAGAGGAACAUCUCUGACAGUCUUGGUCUGAACGGCGUUGUGCGAGGUGCAGCGAGACGACAGAAGAACCCAGUAGCUUCAUUAUGCUUCCAGUCUUGUAACAGGACAUACUGCCAGGAAGCAGCCUCUGGGUUGUUCGGAGCUGCACAGCUUGCCAAGUGAAUACGACCUCAUGGGCACGGCUGGCGUGGGCGUGGCUUGAGGAGAGACUCUUAACUGCCUCAGCAGGAACAUCAGGAGAACAAUAUUUCUUGCUCUCGCCACACAUAUGGCACUGUUUUUCUUUCUUCACGCCUUUACACAGCACAAAGUAUAAAGAGAGAGGACGCUGAGAAAAUGGAUGGGGAAAAGGGUGACAGGAUAGCGAGAAAUGGAGAAUUAAGCUGAAAGAGAAACAACCAGGUAGAAAGAAGACAGAAAACUAGAGGUGCAAUAAAAGAGUAUUUCCAGGAGAUGAAGAGAAAAAGGCUUGAGAGGGUAUGAAAUGUGAGGAGGGAACAUGAUUUUGUUUUCAGCAGUGUCAAGCUGCCACAGAAAUAUGUUUACCAGCAUCUACUUUGCCAUUAGUGACACUUGGGUGAUCCUGUAGACAGAACAAAAUAGGUUGAUAACUGCCUCAUGUAUUUUCCAAAUUUCCCCAUAGCUCUCCAUCUGCUGGAGGGCAGCCGUCCUUAUGCCUCCUCUUGUCUCUUCAUUUGUCCCCGCUCUCUGUCUUGUUUUGGUCCUUGGCUUCUGUUUCCUUGUGGUGUUCAGGUUUUUCAUUUGUGGUUGUCAUGGAUGAAUAAAACCUUUAAGGCUGGGCUAA